AUUUUAAAUCAUUUUAAAAUAUGUUAGUCCUACUUUGCUACCAAACUUUGGUUUUAAGUAAGUAAGUGACUUUUUAAAAUUUGCUAAAAGUUUGGGUCACUUCUGUUGAUAUUAACGAGGGGGUAUUCACCAAACAUUGAAUUGUAGUAAACUACAGUAUUGAGACUGAAAUAGCUAAGCUGUGAUCAUCAGUUUGAAGAUUUGUUCCAAAUCAUCUGUUAUUGCC